rnacentral:rRNA from 1 species
CCCUUAGAUGUUCUGGGCAGCACGCGCGCUACAAUGGUCUUCGCAAACGGAUGCAUUCUCGAAGGAGAAUGCCAAUCUUGGAAUCUAUGCCUUGGUCGGGACAGUUGCUUGCAAUUUUUCGACUCGAACCAGGAAUUCCUUGUAAUCGUGAUUCAUCACAUCACGAUGAAUACGUCCCUGCCCUUUGUACACACCGCCCGUCGCUCCUACCGAUCGAAGAGUUAGGUGAAUUGUUUUGAUCGAUAAGAUUUGACUAUGGUCAACUCUCGUUGUGAAAUACUGUGAAUCUGACUGUUUAGAGGAAGGAAAAGUCGUAACA